ACGAAAAAUAACGAUACGGGACUCAUCCGAGGCCCCGUAAUCGGAAUGAGUACACUCUAAACCCUUUAACGAGGAUCAAUUGGAGGGCAAGUCUGGUGCCAGCAGCCGCGGUAAUUCCAGCUCCAAUAGCGUAUAUUAAAGUUGUUGCGGUUAAAAAGCUCGUAGUCGAAUUUGUGUCCCGCGCCGCCGGUUCAUCGCUCGCGGUGUCAACUGGCGUGUCCGCGGGACGUCCUGCCGGUGGGCUUAGCCCGUUCGGGCGGCCCAAUCUCAAUCCCACCGCGGUGCUCUUCACUGAGUGUCGAGGUGGGCCGGCACGUUUACUUUGAACAAAUUAGAGUGCUUAAAGCAGGCUAAAACAUCGCCUGAAUACUGUGUGCAUGGAAUAAUGGAAUAGGACCUCGGUUCUAUUUUGUUGGUUUUCGGAACCCCGAGGUAAUGAUUAAUAGGAACGGAUGGGGGCAUUCGUAUUGCGACGUUAGAGGUGAAAUUCUUGGAUCGUCGCAAGACGGACAGAAGCGAAAGCAUUUGCCAAAAACGCUUUCAUUGAUCAAGAACGAAAGUUAGAGGUGCGAAGGCGAUCAGAUACCGCCCUAGUUCUAACCAUAAACGAUGCCAGCUAGCGAUCCGCCGACGUUCCUCCGAUGACUCGGCGGGCAGCUUCCGGGAAACCAAAGCUUUUGGGUUCCGGGGGAAGUAUGGUUGCAAAGCUGAAACUUAAAGGAAUUGACGGAAGGGCACCACCAGGAGUGGAGCCUGCGGCUUAAUUUGACUCAACACGGGAAACCUCACCAGGCCCGGACACCGGAAGGAUUGACAGAUUGAGAGC
rnacentral:rRNA from 2 species